rnacentral:rRNA from 1 species
CCUACGGGAGGCAGCAGUGAGGAAUAUUGGUCAAUGGGCGGAAGCCUGAACCAGCCAAGUAGCGUGCGGGAUGAAGGCCCUACGGGUCGUAAACCGCUUUUGCACGAGGAUAAAACCAUCCACGUGUGGAGGUCUGCAGGUACCGUACGAAUAAGGGCCGGCUAAUUCCGUGCCAGCAGCCGCGGUAAUACGGAAGGCCCGAGCGUUAUCCGGAUUCAUUGGGCUUAAAGGGAGCGUAGGCGGGCGGUCAAGUUAGCUGGAAAAUCCCGCGGCUCAACCGCGCCCCGCAGUUGAAACUGGACGCCUUGAGAUCACAACAGGCAGGCGGAAUUCGUGGUGUAGCGGUGAAAUGCAUAGAUAUCACGAGGAACCCCGAUUGCGAAGGCAGCCUGCCGGGGUGCGUCUGACGCUGAGGCUCGAAGGUGCGGGUAGCAAACAGGAUUAGAUACCCCUGUAGUC